rnacentral:rRNA from 1 species
UACGUAGGGGCUAGCGUUAUCCGGAAUUACUGGGCGUAAAGGGUGCGUAGGUGGUUUCUUAAGUCAGAGGUGAAAGGCUACGGCUCAACCGUAGUAAGCCUUUGAAACUGGGAAACUUGAGUGCAGGAGAGGAGAGUGGAAUUCCUAGUGUAGCGGUGAAAUGCGUAGAUAUUAGGAGGAACACCAGUUGCGAAGGCGGCUCUCUGGACUGUAACUGACACUGAGGCACGAAAGCGUGGGGAGCAAACAGGAUUAGAUACCCACGUAGUCCCUGAG